ACUAUUAUUAUCAUUAAUAAUAAUUAUGUACAUAGAGUGCUAUAGAUAAUGUAGCUCGUAACUAUCGUGAUCUUCAAGCUAGUUCGGACAAAGUGCUUCAAGUAAACAGGGAUUUAAAAUCUCAAGUCAACAAGCGUUCAACAGAUGUUAAGACUCGUAACAAUA